rnacentral:snRNA from 1 species
AUACUUACCUGGCAGGGGAGAUUCCAUGAUCACGAAGGUGGUUUCCCAGGGCGAGGCUUGUCCUGCAAAUUCCCCAAAUGUGGGAAACUCGACUGCAUUUGUGGUAGUGGGGGACUGGGUUCGCGCUUUCCCCUG